UCAAGAGUACAGUGGAAGAAGUGCAGUGGACAAGAGCAUAAGGAGAUGUCAACAGGUGAUUGUAAUCAUGGUUUGGUACAGAAGCAGCAUCCAGGAAAGGCUGAGUCUUUAAUGAGCAAAGAUGGCCAGAGGAUCUCCAGUUUGUCAACAAAUGUUGAAUAAUAUCAUUAAACCAUUCAAGGAAUCGGGAGAAAUUUCAGUGCACAAAAGCCAAGGGCACAAGUUAAGCUGAACACCCGUGAUCUUCGAUCCCUCAGACGGCACUGCAUCAAGAACUGCCACUCAACAAUAGCUGAUAUAACAACAUGGGCAAGGGAUUACUUUGGCAAACCUUUGUCAAGCACUACAAUACUGAAUUACAUGCACAAAUGCCACUUAAAACUUUACUGUACAAAAAAGAAUCCUCAUGUUAACCAUGUCCAGAAGCGGCAUCGACUUCUCUGGGCUCUGAGGCAUCUAGAUGGACCAUCACACAGUGGAAACAUGUAUUGUGGUCAGAUGAAUCAGCAUUCCAGGUCUUUUUUGGAAAAAAUGGAUGCCGUGUGCUCCGGACCAAAGUCGAAAAGGACCAUCCAGACUGUUAUCAGCAACAAGUCCAAAAGCCAGGGUCUGUCAUGGUAUGGGGCUGUGUCAGUGCCCUUGGCAAAGGUCAUUUACACUUCUGUGAUGACAGCAUUAAUGCCGAAAAGUACAUUGAGAUCUUAGCACAACAUAUGCUGCCUUCAAGACGUCAUCUUUUCCAGGGACGUCCAUGCAGUUUUCAACAAGACAAUGCAAAACCACAUGCUGCACACAUUACAAAGGCAUGGCUGCGGAGGAAGAGGGUACGGGUACUGGACUGGCCUGCCUGCCUGUCCUGACCUUAAGACGUGUUUGCAGUAAGAAUGGGACAAAAUAAAAGCUGAAACACUAAAUCGCUUGGUAUCCUCUGUGCCAAAACAUCUUUUAAGUGUGGUGAAAAGGAAUGGCAACAUUACAAAGUGGUAAAUGCUUUACUGUCCCAACUUUUUUUGGAAUGUGUUGCAGGCCUGAAAUGCAGGAAUUGAUGUUUAUUAAUAAAUGAAAUGAAGUUGACCAGACAAAACAUGAAAUAUCUCAGGUUCAUCCUGUCUGCAAUGAAAUAAAAGUCAAAGGAAAUGUUUUUUAUUGGAAACAUCACAAACAAGAGAUUGAGAGAAGAAACCGUAUUGAAUGCCCAUGACCUUGGUUGCUGCAUCUAGAAAUGUAAGCAAAUACUCAAGUAUGCAA